GCACUGCUGAGGAGUCCCACAAUAGGACGAAACGGCGGCCCAGUGC
rnacentral:hammerhead_ribozyme from 1 species